CCUACGGGCGGCAGCAGUGGGGAAUAUUGGGCAAUGGACGCAAGUCUGACCCAGCAACGCCGCGUGAAGGAAGAAGGCUUUCGGGGUGUAAACUUCUUUUAAGGGGGAAGAGCAGAAGACGGUACCCCUUGAAUAAGCCACGGCUAACUACGUGCCAGCAGCCGCGGUCAUACGUAGGUGGCAAGCGUUGUCCGGAUUUACUGGGGGUAACGGGCGUGCAGCCGGAGAGACAAGUCCGAUGGGAAAUCCCCGGGCUCAACCCGUGAACUGCGUUUGAAACUGUUUCCCUUGAGUGGCGGAGAGGUAAUCGGAAUUCCUUGUGUAGCGGUGAAAUGCGUAGAUAUAAGGAAGAACACCAGUGGCGAAGGCGGAUUACUGGACGAUAACUGACGGUGAGGCGCGAAAGCGUGGGGAGCAAACAGGAUUAGAUACCCCUGUAGUC
rnacentral:rRNA from 1 species